GACUGUUCUGCGUGAAAACCACCAAAUUGCACUGUUUGCUGCCUCUUUUGUUCCAGCUGGUCCAUCUCCCAUCCAAUGCAACUCUAGACCUGUAAUGACUCGAAAAGGACUAGAAAGACUCGAUAAAGACUUGAAAACCAAUUGAAAAGCACAUAUACAAGAUGUAUAAAACACCAUAUAUCAAUAGUACAAAUACAAAUUAAAAUCACAACUUUUGAACCCGUUUUUUACUGCUUUAUCGUUUCAAAGGAAGAGUAUACUUUUUGUUUUAUAUUUUCUUUUAAAAAUUUAAUUUUUAUAUUUGUGUUUUUCUUUGUAAUUAUAUUUGUGUUUUUUUUGUAAUCAUAUUUGUAUAACAUAUACUUUUUAAAAUUAUUAGUAAGGGUUAUGAUAAUUGUAUUAAAUUUGUGAUGUUGCAUAACUAUACACUUGUGUCAUAGCCAUUUCAUACAUUAAUUUUGUACUUUAUUCCUAAACAGUAAUUAUUUUUUUUUAACAUAACAAAGUAUAGUUAUAUAAUGUAACUAAUAAUUUUUAAUAUAAACAAACAAAUAAAAUUGGUUCUCAACAAAUCAUAUAUAUUACAGCAAGUUUCAAAUAACAAACAUUUUAUUUAGUAGAUUAGACGAAUAAAUAUUUUUUUUUGUUGAUUUUAAAAUAAAAAUAAAAAUAAAACAUGAUCUACGUUUCAACGCGGACCAUAUCUUAAUGUAAUAGUUAAGAGUGAUUAUGUUUUAAUAAUAUAUAUACUUAAAUUAUUAGAAGUAAUUUCAUUUUAAUAAUAUAGAUACACCAUACAAUUUUAUAUGGCAACCAAUAUACUUAAACCAAACCAAACCAAUUUUUUUUUCCAAAUCCAAAUUCGUAAAUAACCAAACUAAUACUAUAUUUCUUAAACCAAAAAACAAAACACAAAAUCAAACCGAAACCAAACCAAAAACCAAAAAAAUAUAAUCUGGAUACAAACCGAAUUUAUAAAAUAUCAUCAAAUUAUAAAAUUUAAUUUCAAAACAUAAAUAUAAAUAAUCACGCCACUGCGCGGAUUAAAAUCUAGUUAGUGAUAAAUAAAUGAUAAUCAUUGUAUUUAUAAUAUGAUGGUGAAAGUUUAAACUACAUUUUAAGUAAAUUGAAGGUGUAUGUUCAGUUGAUCAAUCCAUUGGACAUUCCCUAAUUAUGUUACAUACACAAUCAAAAAGGAAAAUAUGCAAAUUUUCAGAAAUUCAUGACAUUUUUUAAGCCACCUAUUUGCUUGUAGCAUCAAUACUUUCUUUUUUUUUUGUGCAAAGCAUCAAUACUUUCAUUUAAGGACAUUCCUAUCAAACUUAUGUCUUCUAUAUUUUUAUCAACCCACCUAUAUAUUCUGUCACUGUCUAUCACCUUUAAGUUUCCAUGUAUUAGGUAUGGUAUAGAAUAGUGUAUAUAUAUUGCAUAACACCAAUAAUAUAACAAAGAAGGGUGCGUGAACUUUAUCCUGUCACUGAGAACAUGAGAAAUUAUCUCAAAAAGAGAGUUAUAGAGAAAAGAAGAAGAAAAGCAAUAGAAUAAUUAAUAAAACAAGAAACAAAAAAAGAUCUCAAGAUUUUAAAUAUUUUAAAGAGAAAACAAAAGAAAAAAAGUAAGACGAUAGAAAUGUGUCAGAAGAAUACAGAGCACUUGCCCAAGAAACCAUAGAAAAUGUCUAUGUAAAUCUAAUCUCAAGGAUAUUGUAAUGAUCAGAGACUAUCUGUGGUCAUGUUGGGAACUUUGUGGGAUAUCUCACGUGGGACGAUCUUUCUCUUUAUAGAUAACCAAAAAAACAAUGUAACUAUUAUGAAGUUAAUUUGUCAACUAUGUUGUGUGAAAAUAAUGUAGAUUGAAUUUAAUUAUUGAUGUAAAGUAGGUUGUUAGUGAAUCAAGGAGCAUGAAUGAUGAUUGGUACAUGAACACCACUGUAUUUGCUACCUUGCCUUGUGAGGCAACCUAUCUCAUUUUUGGUAUAUCUUACACUAUAUAAUAAUAAACAAAAUAAAAUAUGAUAUUUGUUUUGGAUAUAAAAACUUGUUAUUGUUACAUACUUAGCGUCCACUCUAGAAUUAAUUAUGCAGUGUGCAAAAUAACUGUUUUUAAUGGAUAUGUGUUUCAGUAUAAUAAAACAAUGACGCACUUGGAACCGUUGAAUAUCCGAAAUGUUCAUUAGUUUCUGCAUUUUUCAUAUGAGAUUUGUUCAAAAGGUUAUUUCAUUGUCAUUUUAAAUACCAACCAUUGAGCUAUGUUUUUCUUAUAAUCAGUUCGCUAUUGAAUAAUUUGAUUUAUAACUAAUCAGCUAAGUAAUAACAACCGAACGGGUUCAAUUUGUUUAACUUUGACGAUUAAGAAACUGGUAUGCUCUACUAAACUUGAAUUACUACAAAUGUGCGAUACGAAUCUGCAUUUGUUUUUUUACGCUUUCAUAUGACGGGUCAACUACUUUGAUGACUUACACUGCUUGGAUUACCAGUUGGAUCAGAAUUACGAUUCAUAUCAACAUACAUUGGACUGAGACUGAGAGACAGCUUGGCCACUACCAUUCAGAGGUUAACCAAUUAUAUUCAUACCUUUAAACAUGUAUAUGUCUGUGGUCCUUCAUAAGUUUUAAUAGUCCUCCUUUGUUGACACUGUGCUGUCACAUAGAUUCUUCAUAGAUCUUUCGAGAGAAAAAGGGAACAAUAACAGAUCAAGGUCAUGAUAAAGUCCCAAAACUCUGAAAUAAAGAUAGUUAAAAUUCUCUAUGUAAACCAGGAUAACUUAGUCUAGUGGUAUACGGCUUGCGGCUGCAAGUACAGUCUCGAGUUCGACUCGUACUAGCCACCGAGGCUUUCACAUGGAUUCUUCGACCCGAGGAGACCAACACAUAGCCUGAUCCAAAGCGGUCGCCAAAGGCUCUAAGCCUGCCACGUGGCUAGUCUGGAUCUGCGAAGUGGGGACCAGAAAACUCCUCGUAAAUAUCAAAAAAAAAUUCCUAUGUAAUAAUUUUAAUGAACGUCUAUUGGAUAGUAACGAUAUUAUUUUUUGUGUAUUAAACGGCUGGAUGGAUAAAUCAGAUGACGCAAUUCGUGAUGAUGGUUACAAAUAAUUGGUAAAAGUUGAAAAUAACGGAAGUUUACUCAUAUCUUGCUGAUUACGAACGUUAGUAUAUGUUAAUGUAACGAAAAGUGAUGUUAGUUUCACAAGGGUGAGUAUUUAUUGUAAUGGUGUAGGUAAGGUGAAUAAGGGAUGAAUUGAUUUAUUGAUUGUGAGAGUGGAAGCAGUCAAAGUCGUCGUUGCGUAUGAUUUUGCAUGCUUUGGUGUCAACGCAAUAGGGUAAAACCAAGGUCGAAGCACUGGCUUUGCUUGCUUGUUUUUUAUCUAAUCAUGGGGAAGAAGGAACCAUCCAACAAAAAAAGACAGUUUAAUUAAAUAAAUAAA